AUCCAGCUGACGAGUCUCGAAUAGGACGAAACGCGUGUACUGGAU
rnacentral:hammerhead_ribozyme from 1 species